UCAACACCUAGAGAUAGAUGGGAAAAGACAAGCAGCUUGGGCUGGAGAAGGCUCAGUGGCAGAGUACUGGCCUGUCAGACUCAGAGGGCCGGACUCCAUCUCUUCCAGGGGCAAAGGGGGCAGUGGGGCAAACCAACUCUCAUUCAUGCCCCUUUCAUAAAGCCAAAACUAAGAGAGUGCUUUCCAGGUCGAGGCUGAGGGUGAGAGCCUCUGUGCUGGCCCCGGGGCUGCAUGCUUAGCUCUGUCUCAAGGACUGUUUGACUGUAAUGCACUGACCUAUUGCAUUUUAGCAUAUACAUUGCCGUUUUUAUCCAACCUUUCCCAUGGUCCUUCUACACAGCAUCUGUUUUCAUCGGGAUCGCAGCUGCCGUCCUUUGGACAGCACAAGGAAAUUGCCUGACAAUAAACUCUGAUGAACACACAAUCGGGAGAAACAGCGGGAUUUUCUGGGCACUCUUGCAAUCUAGCUUGUUCUUUGGGAAUCUCUACAUAUAUUUUGCCUGGCAAGGGAAAACCCAGAUUUCAGAGAAUGACAGAAGGACUGUGUUCAUCGCUCUGACAGUCAUAAGCCUCGUGGGGACCGUUCUGUUCUUUCUCAUUCGGAAACCAGAUCCUGAGAAUGUCCUAGGAGAAGAAGAUGAGUCUUGCGAUGAUCAGGACAUGGAAGCCACCGAGUCUGCCCAGAACAACGUGACAAAGGCAGUUGAUGCGUUUAGUAAGU
rnacentral:lncRNA from 1 species